GUGCUUGCUUCAGACCCACAUAUACUAAAAUUGGAACAAUACAGUGAUGAUUAGCGUGGCCCCUGCACAAGGAUGGCACACAAAUUUGUGAAGCAUUCCAUAUUAAA
rnacentral:snRNA from 1 species